UGCCAGCCGCCGCGGUAAUACGUACCGGACAAACGUUAUUCGGAAUCACUGGGCUUAAAGAGUACGUAGGCUGUUUUGUAGGUGAGAUGUGAAAUCCCACGGCUCAACCGUGGAACUGCGUUUCAAACCACAAAACUUGAGGAAGACAGGGGUGAGCGGAACUGAUGGUGGAGCGGUGAAAUGCGUUGAUAUCGGAAGGAACACCAGUAGCGAAAGCGGCACACUGGGUCUUAACUGACGCUGAGGCACGAAAGCUAGGGUAGCGAACAGGAUUAGAUA
rnacentral:rRNA from 1 species